UGCAGUAUUUGAUCAAAGGAUACCUUAGAUCAUGACAGGUACCUGGAUGUUCUGGACCAAACCAGUUGGAAGUCAGGUUGCAGAUGGAGCUUCUGCUGAGUGUCAUCCAGAUAAGUUAGCAUAUCUGUUGAAUUGUUAGAUGAUGGGGCAAAAACAACUUAGGGUAGAUUUACAGUCUAACAGUUAAUUGGUGUAACAAGACCUGGAUUAAGUGGUAGGGCCUUGGAUUUGUUUGUAGGACGAGAGUUACAUGUAAAUUUUCUGAUGUAGAAAUCAUGGAAUACUUUUAAUCGGCGCAUAGGAAUGAUUCAUUUCCAAACAGAAGUUUAAAAGUUUAUUAAAGUGGUAAUCCAUAGAAAGAUAGGUAUCAAACAUGUUUUCUUGUUUUCAUUAUUAAAAACAAAUUUUUAUUUUUAUCUAUCAUAUGCAUUUUUCAAAUUUCAAAAAAAAAAGAAAAAAGAAAAACCUGAAUAAAACAUUUGCAGCGAAAAGAAAAAGGAAGGGGGAGAGCGGGUCGACUUGGCGCAAUCCUCUUUUCGGAUUAAACCAUUCCGAUUUUGGCACCAUUGAUGAGGAUAGGAAUGGUGACACCCACAUUUCAGAAAAACCUUUUUUUUUUUUUGAAGAGUUUGAUAAAAAAAAAAAAACUCCACUUUGUCAUAGGCCUUUUUGCCAAAUCAAGUUUCA
rnacentral:lncRNA from 1 species